AGCGUACACGGUGGAUGCCCUGGCAGUCAGAGGCGAUGAAGGACGUGCUAAUCUGCGAUAAGCGUCGGUAAGGUGAUAUGAACCGUUAUAACCGGCGAUUUCCGAAUGGGGAAACCCAGUGUGAUUCGUCACACUAUCAUUAACUGAAUCCAUAGGUUAAUGAGGCGAACCGGGGGAACUGAAACAUCUAAGUACCCCGAGGAAAAGAAAUCAACCGAGAUUCCCCCAGUAGCGGCGAGCGAACGGGGAGCAGCCCAGAGCCUGAAUCAGUGUGUGUGUUAGUGGAAGCGUCUGGAAAGGCGCGCGAUACAGGGUGACAGCCCCGUACACAAAAAUGCACAUACUGUGAGCUCGAUGAGUAGGGCGGGACACGUGGUAUCCUGUCUGAAUAUGGGGGGACCAUCCUCCAAGGCUAAAUACUCCUGACUGACCGAUAGUGAACCAGUACCGUGAGGGAAAGGCGAAAAGAACCCCGGCGAGGGGAGUGAAAAAGAACCUGAAACCGUGUACGUACAAGCAGUGGGAGCACAGAGCAAUCUGUGUGACUGCGUACCUUUUGUAUAAUGGGUCAGCGACUUAUAUUCUGUAGCAAGGUUAACCGAAUAGGGGAGCCGAAGGGAAACCGAGUCUUAACUGGGCGUUAAGUUGCAGGGUAUAGACCCGAAACCCGGUGAUCUAGCCAUGGGCAGGUUGAAGGUUGGGUAACACUAACUGGAGGACCGAACCGACUAAUGUUGAAAAAUUAGCGGAUGACUUGUGGCUGGGGGUGAAAGGCCAAUCAAACCGGGAGAUAGCUGGUUCUCCCCGAAAGCUAUUUAGGUAGCGCCUCGUGAAUUCAUCUCCGGGGGUAGAGCACUGUUUCGGCAAGGGGGUCAUCCCGACUUACCAACCCGAUGCAAACUGCGAAUACCGGAGAAUGUUAUCACGGGAGACACACGGCGGGUGCUAACGUCCGUCGUGAAGAGGGAAACAACCCAGACCGCCAGCUAAGGUCCCAAAGUCAUGGUUAAGUGGGAAACGAUGUGGGAAGGCCCAGACAGCCAGGAUGUUGGCUUAGAAGCAGCCAUCAUUUAAAGAAAGCGUAAUAGCUCACUGGUCGAGUCGGCCUGCGCGGAAGAUGUAACGGGGCUAAACCAUGCACCGAAGCUGCGGCAGCGACGCUUAUGCGUUGUUGGGUAGGGGAGCGUUCUGUAAGCCUGUGAAGGUGUACUGUGAGGUAUGCUGGAGGUAUCAGAAGUGCGAAUGCUGACAUAAGUAACGAUAAAGCGGGUGAAAAGCCCGCUCGCCGGAAGACCAAGGGUUCCUGUCCAACGUUAAUCGGGGCAGGGUGAGUCGACCCCUAAGGCGAGGCCGAAAGGCGUAGUCGAUGGGAAACAGGUUAAUAUUCCUGUACUUGGUGUUACUGCGAAGGGGGGACGGAGAAGGCUAUGUUGGCCGGGCGACGGUUGUCCCGGUUUAAGCGUGUAGGCUGGUUUUCCAGGCAAAUCCGGAAAAUCAAGGCUGAGGCGUGAUGACGAGGCACUACGGUGCUGAAGCAACAAAUGCCCUGCUUCCAGGAAAAGCCUCUAAGCAUCAGGUAACAUCAAAUCGUACCCCAAACCGACACAGGUGGUCAGGUAGAGAAUACCAAGGCGCUUGAGAGAACUCGGGUGAAGGAACUAGGCAAAAUGGUGCCGUAACUUCGGGAGAAGGCACGCUGAUAUGUAGGUGAAGUCCCUCGCGGAUGGAGCUGAAAUCAGUCGAAGAUACCAGCUGGCUGCAACUGUUUAUUAAAAACACAGCACUGUGCAAACACGAAAGUGGACGUAUACGGUGUGACGCCUGCCCGGUGCCGGAAGGUUAAUUGAUGGGGUCAGCGCAAGCGAAGCUCUUGAUCGAAGCCCCGGUAAACGGCGGCCGUAACUAUAACGGUCCUAAGGUAGCGAAAUUCCUUGUCGGGUAAGUUCCGACCUGCACGAAUGGCGUAAUGAUGGCCAGGCUGUCUCCACCCGAGACUCAGUGAAAUUGAACUCGCUGUGAAGAUGCAGUGUACCCGCGGCAAGACGGAAAGACCCCGUGAACCUUUACUAUAGCUUGACACUGAACAUUGAGCCUUGAUGUGUAGGAUAGGUGGGAGGCUUAGAAGUGUGGACGCCAGUCUGCAUGGAGCCGACCUUGAAAUACCACCCUUUAAUGUUUGAUGUUCUAACGUUGACCCGUGAUCCGGGUUGCGGACAGUGUCUGGUGGGUAGUUUGACUGGGGCGGUCUCCUCCUAAAGAGUAACGGAGGAGCACGAAGGUUGGCUAAUCCUGGUCGGACAUCAGGAGGUUAGUGCAAUGGCAUAAGCCAGCUUGACUGCGAGCGUGACGGCGCGAGCAGGUGCGAAAGCAGGUCAUAGUGAUCCGGUGGUUCUGAAUGGAAGGGCCAUCGCUCAACGGAUAAAAGGUACUCCGGGGAUAACAGGCUGAUACCGCCCAAGAGUUCAUAUCGACGGCGGUGUUUGGCACCUCGAUGUCGGCUCAUCACAUCCUGGGGCUGAAGUAGGUCCCAAGGGUAUGGCUGUUCGCCAUUUAAAGUGGUACGCGAGCUGGGUUUAGAACGUCGUGAGACAGUUCGGUCCCUAUCUGCCGUGGGCGCUGGAGAAUUGAGGGGGGCUGCUCCUAGUACGAGAGGACCGGAGUGGACGCAUCACUGGUGUUCGGGUUGUCAUGCCAAUGGCACUGCCCGGUAGCUAAAUGCGGAAGAGAUAAGUGCUGAAAGCAUCUAAGCACGAAACUUGCCCCGAGAUGAGUUCUCCCUGACUCCUUGA
rnacentral:rRNA from 1 species